rnacentral:ribozyme from 1 species
GGGGUUCGAAAUAGACUUACCUCCACGUGGUGUACCCUGGACAACGUAUAUUCAUACGGCGAAAAAGGUCUA